rnacentral:rRNA from 1 species
GAGGAAGUAAAAGUCGUAACAAGGUCUCCGUAGGUGAACCUGCGGAGGGAUCAUUACCGAAGUUCAUGCCCUUACGGGUAGAUCUCCCACCCUAUGUUAUUAUUACCUUUGUUGCUUUGGCGGGCCGCCAGGCUCCGGUCAGGCUAUCGGCUUCGGCUGGUAAGCGCCCGCCAGAGGACCCAAUAUCCUGAUUAUUAGUGUCGUCUGAGUACUAUAUAAUAGUUAAAACUUUCAACAACGGAUCUCUUGGUUCUGGCAUCGAUGAAGAACGCAGCGAAAUGCGAUAAGUAAUGUGGAUUGCAGAUUUUCAGUGAAUCAUCGAAUCUUUGAACGCACCUUGCGCUCCUUGGUAUUCCGAGGAGCAUGCCUGUUUGAGUGUCAUUAAAUUCUCAACUUCACCGAUUUGAUUCGAGUGGAAGCUUGGAGUUUGGAGUGUGCUGGCCCUCGCUGGGGUCGGCUCCUCUUUAAAUGCAGCAGCGGAGUCAUCUUUGACCUUGCGGCAUUGGCGUGAUAGUCAUUGUUGCGCCGUUGGCCUCAAGGUCUUGGUCCGCUUACAAAUGGUCUACUUGGACAAUGAAAUGUUUGACCUCAAAUCAGGUAGGACUACCCGCUGAACUUAAGCAUAUCAU